GUAUUGAUAUUUGAUAGAUACCUUUUUAAAUUUUAAAAUAUAGAAUAUGCAUAUCGUGUAGAGCUACAAUACUAUUAUUAAGAGUAUAGUAGCCGGACUCAAUAUAUAUAUAUAUAUGAGUACUAUCGCCCUCGUAUUCAUAAGUUGUGUUCGAUGAUAGAGCUUCCGAAUCGACGAUCCACACUGUUAAAUAUUAUCUAGAGUAUUUAAAACUUCUAGAAAUCAAAUUUUAUAAUUUUUCAACAUCAUUUACCUUAUGAUCAAAAGCUCACAAAAUUGACAAUUUUUAACGGCCGGUAUGGGAUACUUUCUGGUUUAACGGUGUAAAAAAAUUGGAAUAGGUUGAAUUUUUGAUAGAAAAUUCUAUUCACUACUUAGAUAAAGAUCAAUAACUCCGAUCUUAAAUCGAAGGAUCCGAUCAUCUAUUUUUAGAAUAUUGUUCGAUUUUGACCGUUCAUUUUAUGUCCGUUUGAUGGACUUUAUUAUGAUUUCGAAAAAUUACGAAAUUUAUUUUUUAGAAGUUUCAAAUACUCUAGAUCAUAUUUAACGGAGUGGAUCGUCGAUUCGGAAACCCCAUCAUCGAAAACAACUUAUGAGUACGAAGGGUCUAAUACUCAUAAGAGUAUAGUAGCCCUACUAUAUAUAUAUCUUUACUAUAUAUAAAAGCACGUAUUUCAAAUUUGGGUCUGUCGACAGACCCAUUUUUUAGCAGGAAAAAUAUUGAUUCCUCUUUCCGUACGUAAAAUAAAUAACAUAAUGAAACAAACUUUUAAUUUCGGUUUAUCUCUAAAAUAGAAAAAAAAUAUAUACUUAUCCAAAUUUUUGCCAACCGAAAGAUAUCUACUGUGAAUCUAUAUUUUAAUUAAUAAAUUAUUUAAUUUUUUAUCUCUAAAAUAGAAAAAUAUUAUGCUUAUCCAAAUUUUUGCCAGAAUAUCUACAGUAAAUCUAUAUUUCAAUUCAAAAUUUAAAAUUAAUUUAAAAUUUAAAAUUUUGGGACUAUCAGUAUAUUACAUUGAAAAUAAUUUAAAAGAUAGAUUGGUUGAUAAAUUUGUAAAUCAUAUUUUUGAAUUAAUAUGAUGUACAAAUUUAUGAUCAAUUUGUAAAAAAU
rnacentral:lncRNA from 1 species